CUAACUUGUUUAGGUAUUUAUUGUACUUCCUGUUUACCUUGGCCAUGUGUGAGAAAGAAACAAACUACUGCAUUUAAUAUGUCAAAUCAUAUAUCCGAUCCACGUUUAAUCCCAAGGAUACGUGAGUUUCUACAGUCAAAGAAAUUAGGAACAUGUACAAGUGUUGUAUAUCUUGCAGAGGAACUACAGAAAAAAUACAGUGAAUAUGGUAGAAGAAAAAAGAAUGUCUUUGUGAAACUGGUAGGCAAAGCAUAUGGAUGUGUAUUGCAAGAAGAGAAAGACAGAAAUCAAAGGAAUCCCAUUGAUGAUCUUGAAACUAAAUACAUGAAAAAGAGGCAGAAGAAGAAUGAAAUUGAGGCUAUAGAUUCUGAGAGUGAUUCAGCCAGUUUUUCUUCGGAUAACAACUCAUAUGUACAGUAUGAGGAUAAGAAUUCUAUUAACAAUAUGAUGACAAAUAUGUACAAGAAAACAUCAACACCUAACAGAACAGCUGAUCCUAACCAGAAACCUCCAAAUAAACUCUUCCUUAUAGAUAGAUCAGGAGACAGACCUGCUCAUUUACAAACAACAUUUAACAACUCAAUUAAGAAUACAGAUGUAUUGCUUGAAAAUCUGGAAGAAAAAACAGACAGUAAAUCAGAUAUUGUUGUCAUUGGUGACGAAGAUGACCUUUGUGACGAUAGCAUAGAUUUAGCACAGGAAUCUGAUAGACAGAGUCGAACAGGAUCUAUAGCUAAUGAAUCAGUUGGAAACAAAAGGUUAUUAAAGAAGUCAAGUGCCACACCUAAAAAGAAAAGAAAGAGACAGGAUAAUGAAGAAAAAGAAAAAGAGAAAAAAGGUCCAGAUGUACAGAAAUCUACUGUUACAUUUGCUGAUAUUGGAGGCAAUGAUGACAAACUAGUGGAAAUAUGUAAAUUAUUGGUACACAUGAGACACCCAGAGGUAUAUCAACAACUUGGAGUGACGCCACCAAGAGGAUUUUUAUUACAUGGCCCUCCAGGCUGUGGUAAAACCUUACUAGCACAUGCCAUUGCUGGGGAAUUAAGUCUUUCAUUUAUCAAGAUCGCAGCUACAGAAAUAGUGUCAGGAGUAUCUGGGGAAUCAGAAGAGAAAGUACGAGAUUUAUUUGAUAGUGCAGUGGCUGCUGCACCAUGUGUGUUGUUUAUAGAUGAGAUAGAUGCCAUUACACCAAAGAGAGAAACAGCUUCUAAAGACAUGGAAAGAAGAAUUGUGGCUCAGUUACUGUCCUGUAUGGAUGAUUUGAGUUCUAAGACAGAUUUACAUGUAUUAGUGAUAGGAGCCACUAACAGACCUGAUUCAUUAGAUCCUGCCUUACGAAGAGCUGGCAGAUUUGAUAAAGAAAUAUGUCUUGGUAUUCCAGAUGAAUCGUCUAGAGAAAGGAUUUUAAGAGUAUUGUGCAGAAAUUUGAAAUUGGCAGAAAAUUUUGACUAUAAAUUUCUGGCUAGAAAUACUCCAGGUUAUGUGGGGGCUGACUUAACAUCUCUUACAAGGGAAGCUGCCAUGGUGGCUGUUAAUAGGGUGUUCAGUGACUUACAGAAAAGCCUAGUGACAAAUCCUGUUGAACAGAAAACAGAUUCAACUAAGACAGUAGUUGUUGAUAUAUCAACUGACCAAACUGGUGGUGAUACAGUCAAUAGUACAGUUAGUGGUCAAUCAGCAAGUGACCAUAGUGUACCAGAUACUACUGAAGAUAUGGAAACAGAAACAAGCAGCAUUUGUAUAGAAGAGAAACCUAAAGAAGUCAAUUUCAAAUCAUUAACACUUAUAGAUGCAUUAUCCUGGCUUAAAGAAUUCCCACCAUUAACCAAUGAACAGUUACAAACUUUGAAUAUAAAUCUACCAGAUUUUGAGGAAGCUUUAAAACAUGUUCAGCCUUCUGCCAAAAGAGAAGGAUUUGCUACCAUACCAGAUGUUACAUGGGAUGAUAUAGGUGCUCUACAUGCUGUUAGAGAAGAUCUACAAUUAGCUAUUUUGGCACCAGUUAGACAUCCAGAAGCAUUUAAAGAUCUAGGUUUAUCUAAAGCCCAGGGAAUACUGUUGGCAGGACCACCUGGAUGUGGAAAGACUUUACUGGCAAAGGCAGUAGCAAAUGAAUCUGGAAUCAACUUUAUAUCAGUGAAGGGACCAGAACUAUUAAACAUGUAUGUAGGAGAAAGUGAGAGAGCAGUAAGACAGGUAUUCCAGAGAGCCAGGAACUCAUCACCAUGUGUUAUAUUCUUUGAUGAAUUAGAUGCCUUAUGUCCAAGAAGGUCAGACUCUGGAGAGGGUGGGUCCAGUGUACGAGUAGUAAAUCAGCUGUUAACAGAGAUGGAUGGGUUAGAGGAGAGGAAAAGUGUAUUUAUAAUGGGUGCUACAAAUAGACCAGAUAUAAUAGAUCCAGCCAUUUUAAGACCAGGCAGGUUAGAUAAGACGUUGUAUGUAGGAUUGCCUUGUCCUGAUGACAGAUUAGAUAUACUCAAAACUAUUACCAAGAAUGGAACAAAACCCAAACUUUCAUUGGAUGUAGAUUUAGAAUCCUUAGCUAAAGAUGAAAGGUGUAACUGUUUUACAGGAGCAGAUUUAGCAGCCUUAGUAAGAGAAGCUUCAAUGUCUGCUUUAAAAGUGAUGAUAUCUAGUCAGGGUACCAGUACAAUAGAAGUAAAUAAGGAGCAUUUUAAUACAGCAUUCACAAGAGUCAGACCCUCUGUGUCACAAAAAGUAAGUUUUUUUAACAAAAUAAAGUCAGGGUACAAGUACAAUAGAAGUAAAUAAGGAGCAUUUCAAUACAGCAUUCACAAGAGUCAGACCCUCAGUGUCACAAAAAGAACAACUAAAGUAUGCAAAGUUAAAAGAACAGUUACAGAAUGGAUGAUAUCAAAUAAAAUUAAAUCUUGA